ensembl:lncRNA
UUGGACAUUACCAGUCCUAAUAGUGUUUUUAUGUGCUGCCACUCUAGCUUUUAUUUUCCACUAAAUCUCUGACUUCAGCAAUUUUUAGAAUUAUGCCUAGGAGCACCAAAUUUACAACCAGGUGCCAGUCAGGUCUACACUAUGGCCUGAUCAGCAUGAGCCAGUCAGGUCUAUAAUAUGGCGUGAUCAGCAUUAGCCAGUCAGGUCUAUACUAUGGCCUGAUCAGCAUUAGCCAGUCAGGUCUAUAUUAUGGCCUGAUCAGCAUUAGCCAGUCAGGUCUAUACUAUGGCCUGAUCACCAUG